GAAAAGAAAUUACCCAAUUUAGUUUAAAAAAAAGGAGUAAAUACAUAUGUACAUAUAGGAUAGUACUGAAAUAAAAUUGACUGAUGGUAUCCUGCGACAUUCCCCGCCCCUUAAAAGAGCAACGAAACGCUCAAGCCCCAAUUUGCUCAAAACGUGUGGGGUCUUAAUCUGAAUAUCAGCCACUCCAAAUUUGGAUGGUUUUUGUCCACAUGGACCAUCCAAAUUCUGCCAGGUUGAAUGUCGGUUCAGGUUUGAGCCGUUUUGAAUUAGCCUAAAAUAGUUAAAAUUAGUUUUUUCUGUUGCUUUAAACACGUCAGGUGCUGCCGCUGUCGUAAAUUGUGGGCUCUGAUACAGACAUCAAGGAUCACCCAAUUAGCAGUGGCGUUGAAGUUAGCACUUCUUCGUCAUUUAGGUCUUUCGCUAAGGGUUGAGGGAUGGCUUCCACGGAUCGCGAUCGCCUGAAGCUCUUCGUAAGUAAGUCCGGUAUUGGCCAAGCUUUUGACCAUUAAACUUUUCAUGGACUUCACUGCGGCUUCCCAAAAGCCUCCAAAGUGGAGAGCAGGUAUAAAUUAAAACUGUAGUCCGAUGAUGCUGCUGAGUGUAUCGCCCUUUGACGAGUUGGCUUGCCGCUGCUUAAAGUCUUCAAGUUGCGAUCGUGUGGAGUAGUUGCAAUUGAUUUUUUUGUAUAAUGACUCUGGUAGUUGUGAGUUUUCCAUUAGGCGAGGGCUUUAAUAAUGACAAUGGGUGCGUCGUCAAACAAACUUUAGAACUUCUUCUGUGGCGAUUACAGACCAAAUUUCAUGUAGCAGAAUUCCGAUUAAGGCAAUCGGUUCAGCAUGCAAAUGCUGGCGAUGCAGCUAUUCAAGAAAAUCCUAAUCCUUUAAAAGCAGCAAUUUGUCGUCGAAUGAAAUGGAUACCAUGACUUAACGACCUUCUACGAGUUAAGGGUCGUUCCAUUACUAACCAGGAACGGAAUAUAUUUUGAAAAAUUCAGCUUUUCUUGUUUGUUUGUCUAAAGACCUUUUGUUGAAUGUGUGAUAAAAUCCGGUUGAAUAAAUUUUGCAAUUCAGAUGCCAACAUAUAAACGGCAUCAAGUACAAGCCAUCUUCUGUUGACUCAACGUUUCUAAAAAUAAGCAUCACGCAGAAUGCGCCAAUAGGAUUCAAAUCUUUUGAUUACGUCAUGAAUUGGAUUUUCGGAAUUACAGAACAAGAUAUUUAGCUGAUUUGAAUCGAGCUGCGUUUCGAUACGAUUGCAGCAAUGAUUACAGCUUGCAUCCUAGCGUUUGCAUUGGGCAAAUGGACGUUGUUUGCAAGUAUUGUGGUGCAUUAAAGUUUUCCGGAGAAACGCCUGGAUUAUGCUGCGCUAAUGGUAAAGUGAAAUUGCCAGUGUUGACUCCGCCACAUGAGCCAUUGUAUUCAUUGCUUUGCGGCGAAACACAAGAAUCAUUCCACUUUCUUGCAAAUACUCGAAAAUACAAAAGUUGUUUCCAAAUGACGUCAUUUGGGGCAGACAUUAUCGAAGAAGGAGGUUUUAAUCCGACAUUUAAGAUACAGGACAGAUUCACCAUCGAAUUGGAUCAUUACUACCUUUCGAAGAUACACAGAAUAAAUUUUUACAAAUAUAUUUCAUGGGCAACAUGGAAGAAUAACUUGAUCGACGACUGGGGAUCAAUGCAGGAAUGAAGCGAGCAAUUCUUCAAGACUUGCAGUGUCUGCUUCAUGAACGUCAUGCGUUGAUCAGGUUGGUCGGAACAAAGUUCGGCGGGUCAGCUAGUUUUUAAUAUUUUUUUGUUAAUCUUUGUUUCUAAACAUUUUUUAAUUAAAUUUUUGUUCACAAUUGUUAAUUGUUUCGAUCAAUUUUAUUAACAUUUUUUAAUUUUUAUAUUUUCCGAGCAGUGAAUUUAUGUUAUGAUCACUAUUUUGUAAUUUGAGAUUUAAGGAGAUUAUUUAAUUAAUUAUUAUUAAUUAAUUUACCAACACAAGCUUUAUAUUUACGUCGGUUGUAUUGAGUUUUUGGGAAUGCAAGAUUCCCUUUUCACUUUAAAACUUUUUUAGUAUUUAUUUUAAAGCUUUGUUUAAGAAUUUUUUCAGUCAUAUGGCUUCAAUUAAGUUUGCUACUAGUAAAUAAAUAAUUCAAAUUUUUUUUUAUUUUUAAGAAUCACUUUUUCACUAUUACAAUAUGACACAUUAUUUAGGGGUCGAACUUAUCUAAUUCACUGCUCUUAUACUUUUUCUUAAAUUGUUCUAUCAAUUAUCAAACCCCGGCUUAAGAUAUUUAUCCCCAAAAAUGAAUAGUAGUCGGAGAAUGGGAUGAUUUAAUUUGCCAAUUAAAUUUGAAGUGCAAUCUUGGCCGGAAAUUUGGUGUUUACAUCAGGGACCGCUUUGGAAAUCUUUUUGUUUAUGUUAGUGGACUCGGGGAUCUUUUGUUUAUGUUAACGGAUUCUGGGCUCGCUUGGGAUUCCGAUGCUUACAAUAUCGGCUUGGAUGUUUACAGCAUCCGUUUGAUGCGGACUGGCUGACAAAAAUAGCUGACCAGGGAUUUAUCUUGGGUCUGUCAGAGUUAUUUGGAAAUAAGCUCUCGGCUCAAAGUUGUUUAUAAAUUGCGUAAGCGCCCCUAAAUAAUGUGUCAUAUAACUUACAUUGCCUUUAAGGAAAACAAGCAUUUUAGUUAGAAAACAAUAGAAAUAUCUUUCAAAUAGAUAUUAUGAGCCCAAUUACCCAAUUAGUUAGAUAACAUCAAAUAAUCAGUUUUAUUAAGUAUUUUGUUGGGAAAUCUAAAAAAGUUAAGUUUAUAAUAUUUCAAUUAUAAGGAAGAAAAUUUAGUUAAUACUAGUACUAUCUAUAACUAUAGUGAUGUACAAAGGAAAUUUUUACAGUGGUGAGACCUAAGCCUGUUUAAUUAAUGGAAAAAUCAUUUAGGAUAGAAAAGAAUAGAAAUAUCUUUCAAAUAGAUAAUACGGGCCCAUCUGUGUUGCUGGGGUGAGCUAUUCUGGCAACCUUCAUUAUUAUGUAACUUCUACUUCGCCGGCGAGAAAUUUGCCAGAUGAUGAGGAGAGGAGAAUACUUAUAUUACCCAAUUAAUAAGAGAACAUCAAACAAUCAGAUUUAUUAAGUAUUUUGAUGGGAACUAUACGUAUUGAAGUUUAUAAUAUUUAUAUUAUUUGGAAGGAAGAAAAUAUAGGUAAUCACUAGUAACAAUUAAAUAAUUGAAUUUCCAAAAAGCAUUUGCAUGCUGAAGGAGGUUAUCUUAUAUGUUAAAAAACACAAAAGAUAUAUUUUUACCCUUGCAGAGGGUAUAAUGAUUUCAGUCAGAAGUUUGCAAGAAGAAAAAACAACAUCUGUAUACUUGUAUCGUUUCUCAAAUUUCGACUUGUAAGAAUAUUCUUCCCAUCUUUGCAUUUUUUAGUCCCAUUUACAUUCUAGAUCUGAGAAAAAAGAAAUAGCUUUUAACACAAUUUUUGCGAUCAACUUUUCGCUUCUUUCCCUUUAUCCGGUUGAUAUUGAUAAUGUCAAUAAUUUUUAAACAAGGGAUAGAUCAUUUAGGUGUUGGUACAAACAUUUAUUUGAUGAACAAUUUUGACACAAACUUACUUUUUUUUGUGUAGUUUUUCUUAUUUUAAGCAAGUUUCUAGAGUUGAAUAUCGUUUUUUUCGACAAUCAUGUUUUUUUAUCUUUAAGUCCUUGAAUAUUUUAAUCAUUAAGGGAAAAGAAAUUACCCAAUUUAGUUUAAAAAAAAGGAGUAAAUACAUAUGUACAUAUAGGAUAGUACUGAAAUAAAAUUGACUGAUGGUAUCCUGCGACAUUCCCCGCCCCUUAAAAGAGCAACGAAACGCUCAAGCCCCAAUUUGCUCAAAACGUGUGGGGUCUUAAUCUGAAUAUCAGCCACUCCAAAUUUGGAUGGUUUUUGUCCACAUGGACCAUCCAAAUUCUGCCAGGUUGAAUGUCGGUUCAGGUUUGAGCCGUUUUGAAUUAGCCUAAAAUAGUUAAAAUUAGUUUUUUCUGUUGCUUUAAACACGUCAGGUGCUGCCGCUGUCGUAAAUUGUGGGCUCUGAUACAGACAUCAAGGAUCACCCAAUUAGCAGUGGCGUUGAAGUUAGCACUUCUUCGUCAUUUAGGUCUUUCGCUAAGGGUUGAGGGAUGGCUUCCACGGAUCGCGAUCGCCUGAAGCUCUUCGUAAGUAAGUCCGGUAUUGGCCAAGCUUUUGACCAUUAAACUUUUCAUGGACUUCACUGCGGCUUCCCAAAAGCCUCCAAAGUGGAGAGCAGGUAUAAAUUAAAACUGUAGUCCGAUGAUGCUGCUGAGUGUAUCGCCCUUUGACGAGUUGGCUUGCCGCUGCUUAAAGUCUUCAAGUUGCGAUCGUAUGGAGUAGUUGCAAUUGAUUUUUUUGUAUAAUGACUCUGGUAGUUGUGAGUUUUCCAUUAGGCGAGGGCUUUAAUAAUGACAAUGGGUGCGUCGUCAAACAAACUUUAGAACUUCUUCUGUGGCGAUUACAGACCAAAUUUCAUGUAGCAGAAUUCCGAUUAAGGCAAUCGGUUCAGCAUGCAAAUGCUGGCGAUGCAGCUAUUCAAGAAAAUCCUAAUCCUUUAAAAGCGGCAAUUUGUCGUCGAAUGAAAUGGAUACCAUGACUUAACGACCUUCUACGAGUUAAGGGUCGUUCCAUUACUAACCAGGAACGGAAUAUAUUUUGAAAAAUUCAGCUUUUCUUGUUUGUUUGUCUAAAGACCUUUUGUUGAAUGUGUGAUAAAAUCCGGUUGAAUAAAUUUUGCAAUUCAGAUGCCAACAUAUAAACGGCAUCAAGUACAAGCCAUCUUCUGUUGACUCAACGUUUCUAAAAAUAAGCAUCACGCAGAAUGCGCCAAUAGGAUUCAAAUCUUUUGAUUACGUCAUGAAUUGGAUUUUCGGAAUUACAGAACAAGAUAUUUAGCUGAUUUGAAUCGAGCUGCGUUUCGAUACGAUUGCAGCAAUGAUUACAGCUUGCAUCCUAGCGUUUGCAUUGGGCAAAUGGACGUUGUUUGCAAGUAUUGUGGUGCAUUAAAGUUUUCCGGAGAAACGCCUGGAUUAUGCUGCGCUAAUGGUAAAGUGAAAUUGCCAGUGUUGACUCCGCCACAUGAGCCAUUGUAUUCAUUGCUUUGCGGCGAAACACAAGAAUCAUUCCACUUCCUUGCAAAUACUCGAAAAUACAAAAGUUGUUUCCAAAUGACGUCAUUUGGGGCAGACAUUAUCGAAGAAGGAGGUUUUAAUCCGACAUUUAAGAUACAGGACAGAUUCACCAUCGAAUUGGAUCAUUACUACCUUUCGAAGAUACACAGAAUAAAUUUUUACAAAUAUAUUUCAUGGGCAACAUGGAAGAAUAACUUGAUCGACGACUGGGGAUCAAUGCAGGAAUGAAGCGAGCAAUUCUUCAAGACUUGCAGUGUCUGCUUCAUGAACAUCAUGCGUUGAUCAGGUUGGUCGGAACAAAGUUCGGCGGGUCAGCUAGUUUUUAAUAUUUUUUUGUUAAUCUUUGUUUCUAAACAUUUUUUAAUUAAAUUUUUGUUCACAAUUGUUAAUUGUUUCGAUCAAUUUUAUUAACAUUUUUUAAUUUUUAUAUUUUCCGAGCAGUGAAUUUAUGUUAUGAUCACUAUUUUGUAAUUUGAGAUUUAAGGAGAUUAUUUAAUUAAUUAUUAUUAAUUAAUUUACCAACACAAGCUUUAUAUUUACGUCGGUUGUAUCGAGUUUUUGGGAACGCAAGAUUCCCUUUUCACUUUAAAACUUUUUUAGUAUUUAUUUUAAAGUUUUGUUUAAGAAUUUUUUCAAUCAUAUGGCUUCAAUUAAGUUUGCUACUAGUAAAUUAAUUAAUCAAAUUUUUUUUUAUUUUUAAUAAUCACUUUUUCACUAUUACAAUAUGACACAUUAUUUAGGGGUCGAACUUAUCUAAUUCACUGCUCUUAUACUUUUUCUUAAUUUGUUCUAUCAAUUAUCAAACCCCGGCUUAAGAUAUUUAUCCCCAAAAAUGAAUAGUAGUCGGAGAAUGGGAUGAUUUAAUUUUCCAAUUAAAUUUGAAGUGCAAUCUUGGCCGGAAAUUUGGUGUUUACAUCAGGGACCGCUUUGGAAAUCUUUUUGUUUAUGUUAGUGGACUCGGGGAUCUUUUGUUUAUGUUAACGGAUUCUGGGCUCGCUUGGGAUUCCGAUGCUUACAAUAUCGGCUUGGAUGUUUACAGCAUCCGUUUGAUGCGGACUGGCUGACAGAAAUAGCUGACCACGGAUUUAUCUUGGGUCUGUCACAGUUAUUUGGAAAUAAGCUCUCGGCUCAAAGUUGUUUAUAAAUUGCGUAAGCGCCCCUAAAUAAUGUGUCAUAUAACUUACAUUGCCUUUAAGGAAAACAAGCAUUUUAGUUAGAAAACAAUAGAAAUAUCUUUCAAAUAGAUAUUAUGAGCCCAAUUACCCAAUUAGUUAGAUAACAUCAAAUAAUCAGUUUUAUUAAGUAUUUUGUUGGGAAAUCUAAAAAAGUUAAGUUUAUAAUAUUUCAAUUAUAAGGAAGAAAAUGUAGUUAAUACUAGUACUAUCUAUAACUAUAGUGAUUUACAAAGGAAAUUUUUACAGUGGUGAGACCUAAGCCUGUUUAAUUAAUGGAAAAAGCAUUUAAGAUAAAAAAGAAUAGAAAUAUCUUUCAAAUAGAUAAUACGGGCCCAUCUGUGUUGCUGGGGUGAGCUAUUCUGGCAACCUUCAUUAUUAUGUAACUUCUACUUCGCCGGCGAGAAAUUUGCCAGAUGAUGAGGAGAGGAGAAUACUUAUAUUACCCAAUUAAUAAGAGAACAUCAAACAAUCAGAUUUAUUAAGUAUUUUGAUGGGAACUAUACGUAUUGAAGUUUAUAAUAUUUAUAUUAUUUGGAAGGAAGAAAAUAUAGGUAAUCACUAGUAACAAUUAAAUAAUUGAAUUUCCAAAAAGCAUUUGCAUGCUGAAGGAGGUUAUCUUAUAUGUUAAAAAACACAAAAGAUAUAUUUUUACCCUUGCAGAGGGUAUAAUGAUUUCAGUCAGAAGUUUGCAAGAAGAAAAAACAACAUCUGUAUACUUGUAUCGUUUCUCAAAUUUCGACUUGUAAGAAUAUUCUUCCCAUCUUUGCAUUUUUUAGUCCCAUUUACUUUCUAGAUCUGAGAAAAAAGAAAUAGCUUUUAACACAAUUUUUGCGAUCAACUUUUCGCUUCUUUCCCUUUAUCCGGUUGAUAUUGAUAAUGUCAAUAAUUUUUAAACAAGGGAUAGAUCAUUUAGGUGUUGGUACAAACAUUUAUUUGAUGAACAAUUUUGACACAAACUUACUUUUUUUUGUGUAGUUUUUCUUAUUUUAAGCAAGUUUCUAGAGUUGAAUAUCGUUUUUUUCGACAAUCAUGUUUUUUUUAUCUUUAAGUCCUUGAAUAUUUUAAUCAUUAAGGGAAAAGAAAUUACCUAAUUUAGUUUAAAAAAAAGGAGUAAAUACAUAUGUACAUAUAGGAUAGUACUGAAAUAAAAUUGACUGAUGGUAUCCUGCGACAUUCCCCGCCCCUUAAAAGAGCAACGAAACGCUCAAGCCCCAAUUUGCUCAAAACGUGUGGGGUCUUAAUCUGAAUAUCAGCCACUCCAAAUUUGGAUGGUUUUUGUCCACAUGGACCAUCCAAAUUCUGCCAGGUUGAAUGUCGGUUCAGGUUUGAGCCGUUUUGAAUUAGCCUAAAAUAGUUAAAAUUAGUUUUUUCUGUUGCUUUAAACACGUCAGGUGCUGCCGCUGUCGUAAAUUGUGGGCUCUGAUACAGACAUCAAGGAUCACCCAAUUAGCAGUGGCGUUGAAGUUAGCACUUCAUUUAGGUCUUUCGCUAAGGGUUGAGGGAUGGCUUCCACGGAUCGCGAUCGCCUGAAGCUCUUCGUAAGUAAGUCCGGUAUCGGCCAAGCUUAUGACCAUUAAACUUUUCAUGGACUUCACUGCGGCUUCCCAAAAGCCUCCAAAGUGGAGAGCAGGUAUAAACUAAAACUGUAGUCCGAUGAUGCUGCUGAGUGUAUCGCCCUUUGACGAGUUGGCUUGCCGCUGCUUAAAGUCUUCAAGUUGCGAUCGUGUGGAGUAGUUGCAAUUGAUUUUUUUGUAUAAUGACUCUGGUAGUUGUGAGUUUUCCAUUAGGCGAGGGCUUUAAUAAUGACAAUGGGUGCGUCGUCAAACAAACUUUAGAACUUCUUCUGUGGCGAUUACAGACCAAAUUUCAUGUAGCAGAAUUCCGAUUAAGGCAAUCGGUUCAGCAUGCAAAUGCUGGCGAUGCAGCUAUUCAAGAAAAUCCUAAUCCUUUAAAAGCAGCAAUUUGUCGUCGAAUGAAAUGGAUACCAUGACUUAACGACCUUCUACGAGUUAAGGGUCGUUCCAUUACUAACCAGGAACGGAAUAUAUUUUGAAAAAUUCAGCUUUUCUUGUUUGUUUGUCUAAAGACCUUUUGUUGAAUGUGUGAUAAAAUCCGGUUGAAUAAAUUUUGCAAUUCAGAUGCCAACAUAUAAACGGCAUCAAGUACAAGCCAUCUUCUGUUGACUCAACGUUUCUAAAAAUAAGCAUCACGCAGAAUGCGCCAAUAGGAUUCAAAUCUUUUGAUUACGUCAUGAAUUGGAUUUUCGGAAUUACAGAACAAGAUAUUUAGCUGAUUUGAAUCGAGCUGCGUUUCGAUACGAUUGCAGCAAUGAUUACAGCUUGCAUCCUAGCGUUUGCAUUGGGCAAAUGGACGUUGUUUGCAAGUAUUGUGGUGCAUUAAAGUUUUCCGGAGAAACGCCUGGAUUAUGCUGCGCUAAUGGUAAAGUGAAAUUGCCAGUGUUGACUCCGCCACAUGAGCCAUUGUAUUCAUUGCUUUGCGGCGAAACACAAGAAUCAUUCCACUUUCUUGCAAAUACUCGAAAAUACAAAAGUUGUUUCCAAAUGACGUCAUUUGGGGCAGACAUUAUCGAAGAAGGAGGUUUUAAUCCGACAUUUAAGAUACAGGACAGAUUCACCAUCGAAUUGGAUCAUUACUACCUUUCGAAGAUACACAGAAUAAAUUUUUACAAAUAUAUUUCAUGGGCAACAUGGAAGAACAACUUGAUCGACGACUGGGGAUCAAUGCAGGAAUGAAGCGAGCAAUUCUUCAAGACUUGCAGUGUCUGCUUCAUGAACAUCAUGCGUUGAUCAGGUUGGUCGGAACAAAGUUCGGCGGGUCAGCUAGUUUUUAAUAUUUUUUUGUUAAUCUUUGUUUCUAAACAUUUUUUAAUUAAAUUUUUGUUCACAAUUGUUAAUUGUUUCGAUCAAUUUUAUUAACAUUUUUUUAAUUUUUAUAUUUUCCGAGCAGUGAAUUUAUGUUAUGAUCACUAUUUUGUAAUUUGAGGUUUAAGGAGAUUAUUUAAUUAAUUAUUAUUAAUUAAUUUACCAACACAAGCUUUAUAUUUACGUCGGUUGUAUCGAGUUUUUGGGAACGCAAGAUUCCCUUUUCACUUUAAAACUUUUUUAGUAUUUAUUUUAAAGUUUUGUUUAAGAAUUUUUUCAAUCAUAUGGCUUCAAUUAAGUUUGCUACUAGUAAAUUAAUUAAUCAAAUUUUUUUUAUUUUUAAUAAUCACUUUUUCACUAUUACAAUAUGACACAUUAUUUAGGGGUCGAACUUAUCUAAUUCACUGCUCUUAUACUUUUUCUUAAUUUGUUCUAUCAAUUAUCAAACUCCGGCUUAAGAUAUUUAUCCCCAAAAAUGAAUAGUAGUCGGAGAAUGGGAUGAUUUAAUUUGCCAAUUAAAUUUGAAGUGCAAUCUUGGCCGGAAAUUUGGUGUUUACAUCAGGGACCGCUUUGGAAAUCUUUUUGUUUAUGUUAGUGGACUCGGGGAUCUUUUGUUUAUGUUAACGGAUUCUGGGCUCGCUUGGGAUUCCGAUGCUUACAAUAUCGGCUUGGAUGUUUACAGCAUCCGUUUGAUGCGGACUGGCUGACAGAAAUAGCUGACCACGGAUUUAUCUUGGGUCUGUCACAGUUAUUUGGAAAUAAGCUCUCGGCUCAAAGUUGUUUAUAAAUUGCGUAAGCGCCCCUAAAUAAUGUGUCAUAUAACUUACAUUGCCUUUAAGGAAAACAAGCAUUUUAGUUAGAAAACAAUAGAAAUAUCUUUCAAAUAGAUAUUAUGAGCCCAAUUACCCAAUUAGUUAGAUAACAUCAAAUAAUCAGUUUUAUUAAGUAUUUUGUUGGGAAAUCUAAAAAAGUUAAGUUUAUAAUAUUUCAAUUAUAAGGAAGAAAAUGUAGUUAAUACUAGUACUAUCUAUAACUAUAGUGAUUUACAAAGAAAAUUUUUACAGUGGUGAGACCUAAGCCUGUUUAAUUAAUGGAAAAAGCAUUUAAGAUAAAAAAGAAUAGAAAUAUCUUUCAAAUAGAUAAUACGGGCCCAUCUGUGUUGCUGGGGUGAGCUAUUCUGGCAACCUUCAUUAUUAUGUAACUUCUACUUCGCCGGCGAGAAAUUUGCCAGAUGAUGAGGAGAGGAGAAUACUUAUAUUACCCAAUUAAUAAGAGAACAUCAAACAAUCAGAUUUAUUAAGUAUUUUGAUGGGAACUAUACGUAUUGAAGUUUAUAAUAUUUAUAUUAUUUGGAAGGAAGAAAAUAUAGGUAAUCACUAGUAACAAUUAAAUAAUUGAAUUUCCAAAAAGCAUUUGCAUGCUAAAGGAGGUUAUCUUAUAUGUUAAAAAACACAAAAGAUAUAUUUUUACCCUUGCAGAGGGUAUAAUGAUUUCAGUCAGAAGUUUGCAAGAAGAAAAAACAACAUCUGUAUACUUGUAUCGUUUCUCAAAUUUCGACUUGUAAGAAUAUUCUUCCCAUCUUUGCAUUUUUUAGUCCCAUUUACUUUCUAGAUCUGAGAAAAAAGAAAUAGCUUUUAACACAAUUUUUGCGAUCAACUUUUCGCUUCUUUCCCUUUAUCCGGUUGAUAUUGAUAAUGUCAAUAAUUUUUAAACAAGGGAUAGAUCAUUUAGGUGUUGGUACAAACAUUUAUUUGAUGAACAAUUUUGACACAAACUUACUUUUUUUUGUGUAGUUUUUCUUAUUUUAAGCAAGUUUCUAGAGUUGAAUAUCGUUUUUUUCGACAAUCAUGUUUUUUUAUCUUUAAGUCCUUGAAUAUUUUAAUCAUUAAGGGAAAAGAAAUUACCUAAUUUAGUUUAAAAAAAAGGAGUAAAUACAUAUGUACAUAUAGGAUAGUACUGAAAUAAAAUUGACUGAUGGUAUCCUGCGACAUUCCCCGCCCCUUAAAAGAGCAACGAAACGCUCAAGCCCCAAUUUGCUCAAAACGUGUGGGGUCUUAAUCUGAAUAUCAGCCACUCCAAAUUUGGAUGGUUUUUGUCCACAUGGACCAUCCAAAUUCUGCCAGGUUGAAUGUCGGUUCAGGUUUGAGCCGUUUUGAAUUAGCCUAAAAUAGUUAAAAUUAGUUUUUUCUGUUGCUUUAAACACGUCAGGUGCUGCCGCUGUCGUAAAUUGUGGGCUCUGAUACAGACAUCAAGGAUCACCCAAUUAGCAGUGGCGUUGAAGUUAGCACUUCUUCGUCAUUUAGGUCUUUCGCUAAGGGUUGAGGGAUGGCUUCCACGGAUCGCGAUCGCCUGAAGCUCUUCGUAAGUAAGUCCGGUAUUGGCCAAGCUUUUGACCAUUAAACUUUUCAUGGACUUCACUGCGGCUUCCCAAAAGCCUCCAAAGUGGAGAGCAGGUAUAAACUAAAACUGUAGUCCGAUGAUGCUGCUGAGUGUAUCGCCCUUUGACGAGUUGGCUUGCCGCUGCUUAAAGUCUUCAAGUUGCGAUCGUGUGGAGAAGUUGCAAUUGAUUUUUUUGUAUAAUGACUCUGGUAGUUGUGAGUUUUCCAUUAGGCGAGGGCUUUAAUAAUGACAAUGGAUAGCCGUUAUCGUCUCAGCGAAAGCGCUUUCGUAGAUGGAUGUUCCUGUAUUUAAAAGAUGAGAAGAAAACUCAAGGCGGUAUAAAGAGUUUUAGAAAAAAACCUAAUCACACCGCAUCCAAAUGUCCGUCAAUCAUGCAGAUCGAGAUGUCAUUUGGCUUUUUAAUGUAAGUUUUAUUUUUAUUUAAUUCGUAUCCCUUGCACCUUCAAUUAUACAAGGUUAGAAUUUAAAUUGAAUUUCCGCCACAACGAAAGAAUAGCUAUCGCCAAGUUUUGUGCAGAGUUCAAUUGUAAUUUAAAGUUUCAUGAAUGCAUUUCAAACUAAGCCUAUCUUAUUGAAUCGUACCCAUAUUUUAAUUAUACAAUCCUGCAUGUGUAGUACUAGGAUAUGUGCCCACAUUUAUUUAAUUCCUUAGCUGGUAAUAAAACGUUUAUAAUAAACUAAGUUAGCAGUCUGAUGCCGCAGCUAGAACGAUUCCGCGAUAGGGUAACUUCUAUUUGAAUGGAUCGUUCGGACGUAUGGAAAGGAACGACCAAUGGUUGGGUGGGUAUUAAGGGACCUCGAGAAGAUCUAGUGAGGUCAGGUUGAGACUCGUCCAGCGUACUGGGGAAUUUUAGGACUUUAUUUUUGAUUUGUAUGUGGUGUAGCUCGUUUCCGAGUUUAUCUUGUCCAGCACGCGAGAUAAGAUUUCGAUUACCCUUAAUAAUAGGCGCUUUAUGGGGUUUAGCAUUUACAUCCACUUCCAGAGCCGACUGCCAGCAGAGUAUACCCGCGUGCACUUGAUUCCCAUCGUACCACCAUGGUACCACCUGCGCCUGAAUUUGUUUGAAUGUGGAAUCGUUACAAUAUAAGUUGCCAGCGUUGAAGAAGCGUUUAGUCGUGAGCAUGACUUACCCAAGAUCUUCGUGACAUAUUUGGUUUCAACUUAAUUGUGCUUCUUUUGGCAAAACCUUCGGGACAUGAUCGGUAUCAACUUGCUUUUUGGUAAAUUCUUGUUCCGCCUUUGAGAGUAUCCGGAUGACCUCUGAUUCCUUAAGUUGGAGUUCUAAAACAUCCCAUCCGGUAAGAAGUUGUGAGGAGUUAAAUAACUCCACACAAAUCCCAGCAGCAGAUGGCCGGUCGCUCACCAGGCGAAUUCGCGUAGUGGCGGCGCGGCGAAGAGCGGUUGGAGAACGUGAGAGUUUGGAGAUCAAGGACGUAGAACGUGAGAGUUGGAGAACGUGAGACUUUGGAGAAAGUGAGAGUUUGGAGAACGUGGGAGCUUGGAGAGCAAGAGAGUUUGGAGACAAUGGAGUUUGGAGACCAAGAAUGGAUAAGGUGGGAGCGGAGACUUGGAGGGCGGAGCGAUAGUGCCGUGUGCAAAAGGGAGUAACGGGACGCCGCCGGACUUUGGACGCGGCCGUGAGCUAUGGACCGAGAGAGAAGGUGUCACAUCUCGGCAGCGGAGCGGCAAACAAGCAUGCAAUAUUCAUCACGCGAAUCAGCGGGACAGCAGCAUCAGGCUGGACGUCGGCGGGGAACAGCGCAUGAGGGACAAGAGGGUCAAACUGGAGGCAUGGACCUUGGACCGGUGUAGAGAGUUUCGGCGGGCCGUGCGCAAAAGGGGAAUAACGGUUCCACGAGGCCCUAUAUAAACCCGCUGGGCGCUGGCAGCAGGAUCAGUCGAUUACGGUCUGUCGGUUACGAUCAAUCGAUCACGAGGUGAGGAGUCGAAGUGUUUAGACAAACAGUCGAUCGGAUACAAGUAAACAGCAAACCAGCCAAGUAAACUACGAGGGAGCCAACAAGGCGAGAAGUCGAAAGCAGCGCCGUGGGAGCCUACAAGAAGCAAGAUCGCUACGUCGAGACGUUCGGGAUUGGGAUCCCUGUUACAUACAUUCUAACGAAUCUAGCGGUUCUUUUACUCUACUAGUAACGGAUGUAAUAAAGCUGGUUUGGCGAUAAUGUCUCAA